CAUUGGGGUCACUGGUUUUUGUCGGCUUGCGGGUUCGCGCGUGGCGGUGCUAGCUGGCGGGCCACGUGGAUGUACAGGUAUUUUAUGGGGAGGCACCCGGUGGGAUCGGGGAGAGUGGACUAUGCGAGGAGUCGCAUAGCUGACACGGCGAGAGAAGUGAAAGAUUAUGCGAGAGAGCGCGGGAUUUACUUUCCGGGCCGGAUCAAGGAUGCUGCCCCGGGAGCUUAAUCGUGGGCUUGGGCUGGGGCGUAGCUCGGGCUUUCUGUUAAAACUUUGAAAUUUCUUUCAAUUUGUAAUCAGAUGUUGUAGAUGUAAAAUCUGUUUUCGGGAGGUGUUGAUGGGUUCUAGAUGCGUCAAGGGCAUGGCGUGUCUAUUUCUGUGUUCGAACUGGUUAGAGAAGUGUACUUGUGGGCCCUGCUGCUGGUUCUAUUACGUUUCUUUUUGGGUCCAUUUGUUUUGUCUGGAUUAUGGGGUGUUUAUUUGUGCAGUAUUUUAAGAUUUUGGGUUAUGUUACAUAUAUAUGAUGCUGUUGGAAGUUUGAACUGGG